rnacentral:miRNA from 1 species
GGCGUGGUGGCGGGCGCCUGUGAUCCCAGCUACUUGGGAAGCUGAGGCAGGAGAAUCGCUUGAACCCGGGGGGCGGAGGUUGCAGUGAGC